rnacentral:lncRNA from 1 species
AAUUUUUUUUUUUUUGCAAAUAGCCCCCUGAGCAAUUUUUAUUUAAAAAGCAGCCCUAUCAAAAUUAAAAUUGGGAAAAUGGCCCUGUCCCUGCUACGCAGGCGCCACGUCAGCGCCACGCGGGCAAGGCUUGGGGCUAGGGUAUUAAGUUGAAUACGGUGAAUCAUUCACCGUGUCUAAACACGGUGAAUGGUUCACCGUGUUUCUUACGAAUUUUUUGUAUAUUGAAAAGUGGAAUAAGGAGUAGGGAUGUCUAUAGGUAUGGAUAUCUGAAAUAUUAUCCGAAUCCAAACCCGAAUAAAUUAUAUAUAUAUAUAUACGUAAUUUAUUUUUGUUUAUUUAUACAAUAUAUAAAAUAUUUAAUAAUUUUUAUUCCUUAGAUCUUCAUCUAACGGUAUAGAUUUUUAAAACCCGCUGGGUUGGAUGAAGAUCUAAGAAAUAAAAAUUAUUAAAUAUUUUAUAUAUUGUAUAAAUNGCCUUANNNNNNNNNNNNNNNNNNNNNNNNNNNNNNNNNUAUAUAUAUAUAUAUAUAAUUUAUUCGGGUUUGGAUUCCGAUAAUAUUUCGGAUAUCCAUACCUAUUGAGAUCCCUACUCCUUAUUCCCACUUUUCAAUAUACAAAAAAUAUGUAACAAAAAAUACGUACUAAACACGGUGAACACGGUGAAUGGUUCACCGUGUUCAACUUAACACACGGGCUCAGCCCUGCCCGCGUGGCCCUGACACGGCGACUGCGUGGCAGACCCAGGGUCAUUUUUGCAAAUUAAAUUUUGACAGAGUUAUUUUUAAAAUAAAAAUUUGUAAGGGUUCUAAAUGCAAAAAAAGUCCUUAUAAAAAUUUAUGGCUAAUUAAUUUUUUUAACCGAAAAU